UAAAGCCUCCAAAAGAUGGGAAGGGUUCGUAAUAGGCCCAAAUGAUGAUGUAUUUGAUAUUUAAAUCAUGCUGCUAAAGCCUUGAGGAGAAAUUCAACGGAAGAAUGUACAGACUUCCCACAGUAUUAACAGCACACAAAUCGGAGCUAGUCCGACGUUUCAACUCCGGCAAGGUGAGGGGGCUUAGCUCGAGCUUGUUGAGCUUCGGUGUGAAAAUCUCAACAAGUUCAAAAUGGAGAUUUUUAACGAGGGUUUUGGAAUGAUUUCUCCAGAGUAACGGCGCAGAAAUUCGGAUCCUUUAUCCCAACAACGGAGGGUCCUUAUAUAGAGCUUUGGAGGUACGAGGUUUCUUUCUCCUCUUUCAUGAGCUGGAAAAUCUAUCCAAAAUCAUUCCGUUAGAGAGGAAUUCGCUGGAUUUUGUGGGGACCAAAGUUUUGCUCCUUUUGGUACAGGGUGGUUGAUAGAACUUAUGGACAGCUCUGUCAUGAUUUCAAAAAAAGGCGAGAAAGUAGGCUGAGCCAACCUUAAAGCUUCCCUUUCAAACGUUACAGAUUGUUGGGACAUGGAUGAUGCUUGCGAGAUUAUGUAUUCCACAGAACUACAGGUCUCACGGCAUGGUAAAGGUGGCUUGUAGACUGACAACAUGGUAACUUGCAGUUAAUGCUAUUAGGAUCGUUGUCUUGACGCAGGGCACGUAACCUUCAUACCUGUUUUCAUCUUCAGACCAAUUCCUUUUGAAGGCACGAAAUGUUCUUUUUUUCAGUUUACCAAAACCUCAACAUCCGCCACAAUGAUCAAAACUUGGACACCAGGUUCUGUUUUAAGACCAUUCUUCUUAUCACAUUCGAUUUUGUUGAACUUUUAAAUUCUUUGUAACGUGACUGGGUUAUUUUUUGUUGUUUGGUAGGGGCCUUGGGUACAAGUCUUAUCAUCAUCCUUCAACCUGCGAGUUCUUAUCGUCUCCAGUUUUUUCGGCACCAAGUGAUUUUGAAGUGGAACAGAAAGCAUUGGAAGAUUUCCUAAAGACCAAAUCUUGACUGGUGUGACUUCUGUUUAUUUCAGGUCCGGCAAGCUUCUUCUCAAUAGACCAAACCUCAAUGUUCCCUGGAAUGUCUUAAACCAAGAGAAAGCAUCGGACUCUUGUGAUUGAUCAACAGGUAUUACGGGAUGUACAUAUCCUGAUGCAAGUUCACGCUGUGGCAUGCAUAUGUUGGCUUCCCUGUUUUAAUACCAGGAGACCAAAAUCAGAGGAUUAACCGUGGAAAGAUCCAGUUCCAGUCUUGGCCAGAAAUGUAUCCUUUGGAGUUUCCAAAGAAUGAGUGUCCUGCUAGUUUACAUCAGCGGUUACUACCUGUUUCGACCUGUCGCAUAUCUUUCCCGUCAACGCUUCCAUCUGUCUGUCUUUCUUGAUGGAAUAAAAUAGAAAUUGUAUGAGGCUGCAGCUAGAUCCAUUGCUCAGGUUCUGCUUGGACAUUUAGCUUAUGUGUUGCCGGUCAAACAUUCGUGAUAUUGCGCAAAUGAGAAGAUGAUUACAAGGUGAUUCACACACUUGGGAAAUGGCCGGGCCGCAAGUUUGAUGUCAUUGGUAUCCAUUUUCGAAUUGGCGGUUUGGAGUACCAUGCUUUUGUAAUAUGGCAACUGCUUCGUCAUAUUGUGAUUUCUGUCAUUUGUAGAAACUCAGCUUAGGCAUACUAGGCUAUGGUAAAUGGAUAAGUACCAUUUUGUCACUUGUUUAGAUCGUCCAUCCGUCAUUAUGCUUAUUAUGAUCACGCUGUAACUUUCUGUUUUUGCCUUGCUUAAAGCCAAUGUUAGGGAUUUGGGCCAUUAAAUGUGGACUUUGAAGUAUGUUUAAAUGGUAUGUUUUUUUCUUUGUUAAGAGGUAUGAUUGUUAUGGAUGUAGGAUGGAUUGAUAAAAAAAUGUAUUUAAAAAAAUGGAAGCAAAAAUAAUUGGAUUUGGAUUUUGUUA